rnacentral:rRNA from 1 species
CCCGGAUCUCAUGCGACGACGGGUAGCCGGCCUGAGAGGGCGACCGGCCACACUGGGACUGAGACACGGCCCAGACUCCUACGGGAGGCAGCAGUGGGGAAUAUUGCACAAUGGGCGAAAGCCUGAUGCAGCGACGCCGCGUGAGGGAUGACGGCCUUCGGGUUGUAAACCUCUUUCAGCAGGGAAGAAGCGCAAGUGACGGUACCUGCAGAAGAAGCGCCGGCUAACUACGUGCCAGCAGCCGCGGUAAUACGUAGGGCGCAAGCGUUGUCCGGAAUUAUUGGGCGUAAAGAGCUCGUAGGCGGCUUGUCACGUCGGAUGUGAAAGCCCGGGGCUUAACCCCGGGUCUGCAUUCGAUACGGGCUAGCUAGAGUGUGGUAGGGGAGAUCGGAAUUCCUGGUGUAGCGGUGAAAUGCGCAGAUAUCAGGAGGAACACCGGUGGCGAAGGCGGAUCUCUGGGCCAUUACUGACGCUGAGGAGCGAAAGCGUGGGGAGCGAACAGGAUUAGAUACCCUGGUAGUCCACGCCGUAAACGUUGGGAACUAGGUGUUGGCGACAUUCCACGUCGUCGGUGCCGCAGCUAACGCAUUAAGUUCCCCGCCUGGGGGGAGUACGGA